rnacentral:tRNA from 1 species
GCCCCCUUGGCGAAACCGGUAGACGCAAGGGACUUAAAAUCCCUCGGCCAUUGGCUGUGCCGGUUCAAGUCCGGCAGGGGGCACCA